rnacentral:rRNA from 1 species
GGGGUAUAAAUUAAUAAUUUAGUUUUAAUAAAAAAAUUUUUAUAGUAUAAUUAUAUUUUAAUGGGGGUUAAAGUAUAUUUUAUAGAAAAAAUUAUAAAUUUUAUAGAAAAUUAGUAUUGUGAGAGAAUUUUGAAAUAUUUUAAAAAUUAAUUUAACAAAAAGUAAAUUUUAUUUAUUGUAUCUUGUGUAUCAGAGUUUAUUAAAAAUAAUUUUUAAUGAAAAAAUUCUCGAAUUUAAAAGAGAUAAUUAAUUAUAAAAGUUAUUGUGGCAAAAAUAUUUUUAAUAAUUAAUUUGAAAUGAAAUGUUAAUCGUUUUUAAAUAUAUCUAGUUUUUUUAGAAAUGAAUUUAAUUUAGGAUUUAUAUUAAAAAAAGUUUUAUAUUUAAUUUUUUUUUGUAUAAAUUUAAUAUUUUAGGGGAUAAGCUUUAAAUUAAAAAGUUAUAAUUUUAAUUACUACAAAAUUAUUAAAUUUUUUAAAAUUUAUAUUGUUUAUAAAUUAUAUUUUUUUAUAAAAAAAUUUAUUAUAGAAAUAAUUUUUACUUAAAUUUAAUUUUUUAUAAAAAAAUAUUUUUUAAUUAAUAAAAAAUAGUUAUAAUGAUAAAAUUAGUAUAAAAAUAUUAUAAUAAUGUUAAUUAAAUACAUUAUUAGGUAAAAAUAUUAUAUAAAUAACAUAUAUGUAAAGUAAUUUAAAGGAAUUCGGCAAAUAUUUAUGUUCACUUGUUUAACAAAAACAUGUCUUUUUGAUAAUAAUUUAAAGUCGAAUCUGCCCACUGAUAAUUUAUUAAAGGGCUGCAGUAUAUUGACUGUACAAAGGUAGCAUAAUCAUUAGUCUUUUAAUUGGAGACUUGUAUGAAGGAUUUGAUGAGAUAUAGACUGUCUCUAAAUUAAAUUUAGAAUUUAAUUUUUUAGUUAAAAAGCUAAAAUAAUUUUAAAAGACGAGAAGACCCUAUAGAGUUUUAUAAUUAUUUAAAUUUUAAUUUUUUAUUAAUUUUAAAAUAAAAAUUUUUUUAAUUAUUUUGUUGGGGUGAUAGAAAAAUUAAAAAAACUUUUUUUUUUUAUUUAACAUAAAUAAGUGAAUAAUUGAUCCAUAAUUUAUGAUUAAAAGAAUAAAUUACCUUAGGGAUAACAGCGUAAUUUUUUUUUUUAGUUCAUAUAAGAAAAAAAGUUUGCGACCUCGAUGUUGGAUUAAGAUAAAAUUUAAAUGCAGAAGUUUAAAAUUUUGAUCUGUUCGAUCAUUAAAAUCUUACAUGAUCUGAGUUCAAACCGGUGUAAGCCAGGUUGGUUUCUAUCUUUAGAAAAAUAAAAUAUUUUAGUACGAAAGGAUCAAAUAUUUAAAAUAAUUUUAAUUUAGGAAUUUUAUUAAUUAUAUGUAUAUUUUAUUAAUUAUAU